GCGCGGGUGGUGGAAUGGCAGACACGCCAGUUUGAGGGGCUGGUGGUAGCAAUACCGUGCGGGUUCAAGUCCCGCCCCGCGCA
rnacentral:tRNA from 1 species